rnacentral:rRNA from 1 species
UACGGGGGGGGCAAGCGUUGUUCGGAAUUACUGGGUGUAAAGGGCUCGUAGGCGGCCAACUAAGUCAGACGUGAAAUCCCUCGGCUUAACCGGGGAACUGCGUCUGAUACUGGAUGGCUUGAGUUUGGGAGAGGGAUGCGGAAUUCCAGGUGUAGCGGUGAAAUGCGUAGAUAUCUGGAGGAACACCGGUGGCGAAGGCGGCAUCCUGGACCAACACUGACGCUGAGUGAGCGAAAGCCAGGGGAGCAAACGGG